CUGCAUCCACUGAUAGACCUUGAACAAUCGGCUGUUGUUCUUUUGGUUUGCACUAGGAUGCGAAAGGAAAACCAUCCCUGCGCUUUCUGUCUUGUGGCAGCCCAGAUGGAAUAGGGGAAUUCAGUA
rnacentral:snoRNA from 1 species